rnacentral:rRNA from 1 species
AUGUAGCAAUACAUGGCGGACGGGUGAGUAACGCGUGGGCAACCUGCCCUUAUCUGGGGGAUAACAGUUGGAAACGACUGAUAAUACCGCAUAAUAUGGUUUGAAGGCAUCUUCUUUCCAUCAAAGAUUUAUCUGAUAAGGAUGGGCCCGCGUCUGAUUAGCUUGUUGGUGAGGUAACGGCUCACCAAGGCGACGAUCAGUAGCCGACCUGAGAGGGUGAUCGGCCACAUUGGAACUGAGACACGGUCCAAACUCCUACGGGAGGCAGCAGUGGGGAAUAUUGGGCAAUGGAGGAAACUCUGACCCAGCAACGCCGCGUGAAUGAUGAAGGUCUUCGGAUUGUAAAGUUCUUUUCUAAGGGAAGAAGAAAGUGACGGUACCUUAGGAAUAAGCCUCGGCUAACUACGUGCCAGCAGCCGCGGUAAUACGUAGGAGGCAAGCGUUAUCCGGAAUGACUGGGCGUAAAGGGUGCGUAGGUGGUUUGGCAAGUUAGUAGCGUAACUCCGGGGCUCAACUCCGGAACUACUACUAAAACUGUCGGACUUGAGUGCAGGAGGGGCAAUUGGAAUUCCUAGUGUAGCGGUGGAAUGCGUAGAUAUUAGGGAAGAACACCAGUGGGAAGGGCGAAUUUGCUGGACUGUAACUGACACUGAGGCACGAAAGCGUGGGGAGCAAAUAGGAUUAGAUACCCUGGUAGUCCACGCCGUAAACGAUGAAUACUAGGUGUAGGGGGUAUCGACUCCCUCUGUGCCGCCGCUAACGCAUUAAGUAUUCCGCCUGGGGACUACGGCCGCAAGGUUGAAACUCAAAGAAAUUGACGGGGACCCGCACAAGCAGCGGAGCAUGUGGUUUAAUUCGACGCAACGCGAAAAACCUUACCAGGCCUUGACAUUGAGUGAAAGUCCAAGAGAUUGGACCCUCCUUCGGGACACGAAAACAGGUGCUGCAUGGUUGUCGUCAGCUCGUGUCGUGAGAUGUUAGGUUAAGUCCUGCAACGAGCGCAACCCUCAUAUACAGUUGCCAUUAUUAAGUUAGGAACUCUGUAUAGACUGCCGUGGUUAACACGGAGGAAGGUGGGGAUGACGUCAAAUCAUCACGGCCCUUACGGCCUGGGCUACACACGUGCUACAAUGGCUAUUACAAAGAGUUGCAAUACAGCAAUGUGGAGCGAAUCUCAAAAAGAUAGUCUCAGUUCGGAUCGUGGGCUGCAACCCGCCCACGUGAAGUCGGAGUUGCUAGUAAUC